GACCUGCAUCUUCAUCUUUAGCUGCCAUUCCAUCAACACCUACAAUUCUUUCAUCCGUUGAGAACUUCUUUGAACUGAUCAGUACUAUAUAUCUUAUAUUAAUUUACCAUACAUACCCUCCCUCCACUUUUCCUUGGAAAAGAAAAAAUCCCGCAAGUUCGGCUUACCCAUAACACCCCUACACAAGAGCCCAAGAAUACUGGUGUUUAACCUAAUUCUUCCUGUGCCCUUUUGGUAAUUUGCAUAUAUUAGCUCUCGCAUACUAUAUAUAUAAGGCCUUGAUUCUAGCUAGGGCUCAUAUGUAUAUAUUAGAUAUGGCUUUGAGAGAGAGAGACUGAGGGAGAGAGAUCAGAGAGAAUUGUGGACUCCUCUUUGUAACGUUUCUUGCUCAAAUGAGUAUUCCAACCACAGUUGCACAUGAUGCUGGGCGCUACUGUUUCUGAGAUGCUCAUUUGAGCAAGAAAUGUUAAAAGUGGAAGAUUUUGCUUCUUGCUUCUUCUCGAUCAUCUACUUCAGAGUCUUUAGAUAUUCAGUGUGUAUUUCUCUGAUAUGGAAAUAGCCUCAUUAUGACAAGUUGCAAGUGUCACAAGCUUCAAGAAUGCUAUUUCAAUGUUCAAGGAGAAUUUUGUGCAGAUUCCAACUCAGAGAAGUCGGAUCCCAAGCUUCCGUCCGGAUGAUUCAGUAUAACAUCCGGAUGCCGAUCAGUUAGCAACAUCCGUCCGGACGACGAGAACUUUCCGUCCGGACGCUCAUCAGUGUCUAGAAACUUUGAACUGUUCAUGAUUACAUCCGUCCGGACGUAAUGGCAAAUCGUCCGGCCGCUAUUCAGAGUUCGAGAAGAAUCCAGUGUUCAAGUGCAUCUGUCCAGACGACGUAGCAAUAUCGUCCGGACGCCAUUCAGUGUUCGACAAGCAAUAGAGUUUCUGUCUCAGAUACAGAUAUGGGAAGACAGAUGCAACCGUCGUGAUGAUGUGUGUUCCCGUCCGGACGCUAUCCUUGAUAAGGCAAGUCGUACAGAAGAAGUUCAACCGUCCGGACGUCAGACUCCAUGGUCCGGACGUUCAGACCUUAUUAUGAAAAUUGCGUGCAACGGAAGUACAACCGUCCGGAUGCUAGGGCAACACCUUCCGGACACCCUUUGGUAUUUUGAUCAUAACUUUCUACUCAAAUAUCAGAUUGAGACGAAAUUGGUGUCAUUGGAAAGCUAAUGAAAAAUUCUGCAACUUAAUGGUCUAGGUGGCCAAUAGAAAUGUCCGGACAGCCCACCGUCCAGACGGAAAGAUAGUAGCAUCUGGACGGCCCGCCAAAAUUUGAGAAGUUUUAGAAUUGCUUUUCAGACACGAAAACAGUUGCCCGUCCGGACGCGCGUGCCAGAGACUCCAAUUCUGACUAGAAUUAGGGCUUCUAUAGCUUAAAAAUAAGAGGCUCUAGGCAUUCAUUAUGUACAGAAUUCAGCAGUGAAUUCCUUUUAGCUUAGAGAGGGUGUUUAAGGAGAUAUUGAAGAUUUGCUAACUCUCUAGCUUUUGCUAGUGUUUGAUUUGAUCAGCAGUGAAGUUUAUUUUAGGGGUUGGCCCUAAGGUAAAGGAUUCUAUUGAAGACCCCUUCAGGUAGGAGACCUGGUUGUAAGGCGUUCAUGUUGGGUUAUACGUCAGAGUUCAAGGUACGACCACUGCAUCAGGGAUAUGUGAGUGCUAUUGUUUUGUAACUAGCUUUGUCUUUUAAAUAGUGGAUAUCCUGAGUUUGGCUGCCCCAGAGUGGUUUUUCUCUUAACUGAGUUACCACUUUGUCAACAAAA